UAAACAAUACCAUUAGCAACAGUUUUUUUGUGGCUAAUGGUAUUGUUUUCUGGUAACUGACCUUCUUCGGGGCCAUCCCUUAAUAUAGGAGAAUUUUGAAUCAUGAUGUGACAACAGUUUUUGCCAAAUAUCAAUAUGUAAGGAGCUCUAAGACUGUACAGAAAGCAUCUCUUUUGAUUCAGGAAGAUGUUUGCUUCAGAGUCCAGAUGUUCCAGGAAUUAUCUGAGAAGAAACCCUUGAUGUUUCUGGAAACUUCAUAAAAGUUCCAGAAAAAUCCAAGUUGAUGUGCAGUUUUACUGUGGGAAAGACUGGACAGGUCAAGACCUUCUACAAAUGAAGAAAUAUUUCAAAUACUCUGCCCUUCAAUGGGACAAUUCUAAAUCACAGAAUCUAUAGAGUCUCCUGAAAGAGUAAAGUUGGUUUGCAUUCCAGUUAUGUUACCAACAUAAGCAUCUUUCCUUUCUCAGUGCCGCUUCCCUGUUCCCUUACUGAUGCCUCCAAAAAUCUGCUUCCAAAUAAACUACAUGCAAUACAA